UACGUAGGGUGCAAGCGUUAAUCGGAAUUAUUGGGCGUAAAGCGUGCGCAGGCGGUUCUAUAAGACAGAUGUGAAAUCCCCGGGCUCAACCUGGGAACUGCAUUUGUGACUGUAGAGCUGGAGUGCGGCAGAGGGGGAUGGAAUUCCGCGUGUAGCAGUGAAAUGCGUAGAUAUCUGGAGGAACACCGGUGGCGAAGGCGGCAUCCUGGACCAAUUCUGACGCUGAGGAGCGAAAGCCAGGGGAGCAAACGGG
rnacentral:rRNA from 1 species